CACUUUAUUUUGUAUGAAUUUCCCUCCCUUUCUUUUUACCCUUCUUUUUUGCUUUGGUCAUGAUUAUACUAUAGUUGUCCCCCACUAUAACUUCUACCCUCCACCCUAUUUAUCAUCUUUCUUAAUAACAGAGUUUUCAAAACUCCUCUGAGACUACACAGUUUUGGUUGGAAAGAUCAGAAGUGAAAAAAGGGUCGGUUGGUCAGAGAGAUAACAUGGAUGUUCUUCUGUAUUCUCUGUGAUUUACCAUCAUCGGAGACAUCCUUAACCUUGUUGACCUGAGGUUGCACCAAGUUAUUCGCAUUGUGGAGAUUUUGACCCAAUACAGCAAAUGGGUGCCUUAGCUGCUGAUUGAUGAUUGUUCCAGAUACUCUAUGUGCUCUAUCUCCAAAGUUGCAACUUUCAGUGAGAUCAGGAAUGUGGGAUCUCCUGAAAUGGGGAAAUAAAAAGGAUUUCGACUUGAGGCCAUUACUAUGUAUAUACAUAAUUCUACAUUUAUCAUUUAUGCUAUGGUACCUCAUUCUCUUAACAAGGGCAGCACUAUCAGUUGUUCCAUCUGUAUUGAACCCAUUUUGGAGUAAAAUUCUUUUGUUAUUAGGAUUUAUACAUGAAUUACUAUUCUCUUUGGCCAAAGCUUCAUA